rnacentral:tRNA from 1 species
GGCCUUGUGGUCUAGUGGUAUGAUUCUCGCUUUGGAUCACCAAAGUUGCGAGAGGCCCCGCGUUCGAGUCGCGGCAGAGCCC